AUAAUUUCAAUUUGCCAUCCACUGAACGUUUUAGUUGUCAAGCUCUGUUUGACGCUUUGAACAGUGGCUCAGUGAGUGAUGACAAAUUCAGGCAUACAGAGACCAAUUACAUGGAUCCGGACAGUCAAGGACUGAACUUACCGGAGAGUCCGUUUGCAUCUCCAAUCGCUAGCAGCAUUUCUACAGUUAUAUAGGUUCAGCACGCAGAAGAAAUAUAGAGUUACCUGAACAAAGGCAACUGCAACAUCUUCGGUUUGAUACGUAACAGCACCUUUUUUUCGCGUUUUUCCUUCCGUCUUCUCUUAACUUGUUCACCAAGGUUUACAGCUAGUACAAAACGGCUUAUGAAAGAAACAAGAAGAAUCUCCUCCUAAAGGAAGUAGCAAAGCAGAAUAUGAUAC
rnacentral:misc_RNA from 1 species